GAUGAACGCUGGCGGCGUGCCUAACACAUGCAAGUCGAACGGUGCAGGAAGCACCAAAGGGAGCGGUUUACCGAACCCAGAGGAUUUUCUGCAUAGUGGCGGACGGGUGAGUAACGCGUGGGUAACCCGCCCUGUACUGGCGGAUAACACUUAGAAAUAGGUGCUAAUACCGCAUAAGCCUUUAAGAUCGCCUGAUCUAACAGGGAAAGCGCAUACGGUACAGGAUGGGCCCGCGUCAGAUUAGCUAGUUGGUGAGGGAGAAGCCCACCAAGGCAUCGAUCCGUAGACGGACGGAGAGGGCGGACGGCCACAUUGGGACUGAGACACGGCCCAAACUCCUACGGGAGGCAGCAGUGGGGGAUAUUGCACAAUGGGGGAACCCCUGAUGCAGCGACGCCGCGUGAGUGAAGAAGUAUUGCGGUAUGUAAAGCUCUAUCAGCAGGGAAGAAAAUGACGGUACCUGACUAAGAAGCCCCGGCUAACUACGUGCCAGCCGCCGCGGUAAAAC
rnacentral:rRNA from 1 species